rnacentral:rRNA from 1 species
AUUGAACGCUGGCGGCAGGCUUAACACAUGCAAGUCGAGCGGAGAUGAGGUGCUUGCACCUUAUCUUAGCGGCGGACGGGUGAGUAAUGCUUAGGAAUCUGCCUAUUAGUGGGGGACAACAUUCCGAAAGGAAUGCUAAUACCGCAUACGCCCUACGGGGGAAAGCAGGGGAUCUUCGGACCGUGCGCUAAUAGCUGAGCGUAAGUCAGAUUAGCUAGUUGGUGGGGUAAAGGCCUACCAAGGCGACGAUCUGUAGCGGGUCUGAGAGGAUGAUCCGCCACACUGGGACUGAGACACGGCCCAGACUCCUACGGGAGGCAGCAGUGGGGAAUAUUGGACAAUGGGCGCAAGCCUGAUCCAGCCAUGCCGCGUGUGUGAAGAAGGCCUUUUGGUUGUAAAGCACUUUAAGCGAGGAGGAGGCUACCGAGAUUAAUACUCUUGGAUAGUGGACGUUACUCGCAGAAUAAGCACCGGCUAACUCUGUGCCAGCCGCCGCCGUAAUAC